GGGGGAGAGAGAUGUAGGGGGAUCUGAGAGAGGUAGAGGGAGAGAUAUAGGGGAGAGAGAUGUAGGGGGAUCUGAGAGAGGUAGAGGGAGAGAUGUAGGGGGAGAGAGAUGUAGGGGGGAGAGAGGUAGGGAGAGAUCUAGGGGGAGAGAGAUGUAGGGGGAGAGAGGUGGGGGAGAGAGGUAGGGGGAGAGAGGUAGGAGGAGAGAGGUAGGAGGGGAGAGAGGUAGGGGGAGAGAGGUAGGAGGAGAGAGAGGUAUGGGGAGAGAGGUGGGGGAGAGAGGUAGGGGGGAGAGAGGUGGGGGAGAGAGGUAGAGGGAGAGAGGUAGAGGGAGAGAGGUAGGGAAGAGAGGUAGGGGGGAGAGAGAGAGAUGUAGAGGGAGAGAGGUAGGAGAAGAGAGGUGGGGGAGAGAGGUAGGGGGGAGAGAGGUAGGGGGAGAGAGGUAGAGGUAGAGAGGUAGGGGAGAGAGGUGGUGGGAGAGAGAGAUGUAGAGACAGAGAUGUAGAGGGAGAGAGGUAGAGGGAGAGAGGUAGGGGGAGAGAGGUAGGGGGAGAGAGGUAGAGAGAGAGAGGUAGAGAGAGAGAGAUGGACUGGUGGUGGUGGUGAGUCAUGAUGUGUGUGUGAUAGCACCUGAUCUCGGUCUGCUCCGCUGAACACAUGCUAAUGUGGUCUACCUCUGCACAGACAAAACCUGCAGCAGCCCCUGCUAUAACCACCCUACAGCACCCCUCACAGCCUGCCACUGGCUGUCACGCCUGUCAAUCAAUCAUCCCAGCAUAUCAGUGCAUUCGUCAGGCUUGUCAACAGUAGCGGUUGCCCGCAAUGCCUCCUGCCGGUUGCUCUGCAGUUGGUCAUCUCACUGUCAGGAACUGACUUGAUGAAGUGGCCCCAUAUACUGAUCUAGGGAUAGAAUUUGGGGUGGCUAAGCUGAUCCUAGAUCAGUUCAGCCUAAGUGCUAUUUCCACACAGAAC
rnacentral:lncRNA from 1 species